CAAACACACGCUGCGUGUGUGUGUGUGUGUGUGUAUGUAUGUAUCUAUAUAUAUAUAUAUGCAUAUAUAUAUAUAUAUAUAUAUAUAUAUAUACACACACACUGCUGUGUGUGCUGU